ensembl:lncRNA
AUCAUAUUCACUUCUCUAUGCAUCUUGGAUCACCAGUACAAAGAGUAAUAAACAUCAUAAUUUAAAAGCAAAUAUAAAUUUCCAUUUUGGCAAAAGGAACCUGGUACUUUAAAACCCUUCACCAAAAAGUGGUUUAAAUACAAGGUUUAAAACACAUGAUGUACCACACCCACAAGACAAGUACCCAGGCACCUAUGCCACAAUCGCCACAUUCUGAUUUAGCUCAGUCAUUAAAAACCAUAAACAUCAAACAUUCAUGCUAAACACACAAAAACAAAACACCGUAAACACUAUAAAAUCUACAAGCGGAAAGUGGAAUUCAGAUACCGAUAAAACAGGCGCCUUUGAGCCACAACACCAUGCCGCCAGGAGCACGUGGACUUAAAAGAGAAGAAUCGCGCGCAUGAGCAAGACCCAAUCAGAGACUUCUUCGAUUCUGAUUGGCUGAUGCGAGAGACCGUCGCGCGUGCGUGCAAAUCCUUGUCCGGUUUCGCGCCCAGCCCGAAGAGUAAGAUGUGCGUUUUUCAACCUGGAAUUAAUAUUGAUCUGCUUUCUUGUUUUGCGGACGUCAGUCAAAAACCGCACAAUUAUACCUUAUAACUUAAGUAGUUCUGGACGAGUUAUUCGGAAUGUUGUAAGUAUAUUGCGUCUUUAAGUUACAGAUUCAUUGUGAAGCAGAGCAUUUCCAUCAGCUGGAUGCAGAGUGUAGCUUUGACCGAAUCGGUCCGCUGCAAGAAGACUAACACCGUUUCACAGAUGUUCAGGAGCUCUCCGUCUCCUGCGCUGAGAUGUAGGGUAGAAACUCGUAGAAGGAGCUCUGCUAAACACCGUGGCCAUUCUGAGAAAAGGUCAGAGGUGCUGGAGCAAACAUACCAAAGCAGACGGAGACGGCGUAGUAGGAGUGUCACACAGGGGAGUGCUGGGUCAGAUAACACCAGCACCAUCAUAAGUGAUGAAGGGACCCAUGUGGACACGCUGGAGAAGAAUGGCACAAACUUCUUCAGCCUGACUGAGGAUAGUGGGGAUCUUGAUGAAAGUGUGACAGAUGACACACUCUGGAUCCUGGAGAACAAUAGCAUCCAGGACAGAGAACCUGUUGUCUGUGUGCUGGAUGAUCAAAAUUUGGAUGUUGUUGAAGUUGGAAGUGUAAAAGACAAGGAUGAUUCCUUCGACUCCCUGUCAUGGACAUCCACGGCCUCUGGUCCAACGCUUUUAGAAGACAAGAGGCCCCUGGUACCCUGUCAGAACUGUGCAAAGCUCUUUACAAAAAUGAAGAAAGUGAAGCGCUGGAAAAAGAUAAUUGAUUAUGAUCCUGCCUCCUUGUCAUGUGACCAGUGGGUGUUGAACAAAAGGUGGAAACCAAGUAGACCACAUAACCUGAAAGGACGGUUGUGGGUACACUUGAGCCGAAUAAGAAAGAGGAUUUUCAGCUGCGUUGACGUUGAACAAUGGAACGAGUCUCAGGCUUGCUCCAGACCCCAUGUAUUUCUGCAGAGAAACUUAAGGAGGUGCAGGAAAAGCCCAGCUUCAGGAAGAAGGCAGCGAGAACAGCAUCUAGCAAAGGGGAAAAAACGGGCCGCCUCAGCCAGUUUAACUGGGCAGCACAGAAGGGGUGCAAAGAAGAAACGAAGCAGGAUGGGGAAGGCAGAGGGACCUGAGGUGUGUCUGCAGGGGACAUCCUCUCAGGGUAGCAAUGGAAAUACUGGCCAUGACAGCACCUGGAACCAAGUGAGGAACGAGUGCUCAAACAGGGUCUGCAGGGUGUUGGACUUUGACAUGGGAGAGCCAGAGGCCACAGACCACGAAGGCCCCAGUGUGUGGUGUCAGUACAAGAAUGGGCUACAGCAGAACUCUGAGGGGGCACCUGUCCGUCAAAGGUCAAAGGUCAGGGGGGCGAACGAGGGUUCUAGGCAACUCCCAGAUGGGGGACACCAAGGCCACUUCUCCUGGGUUCAGAAAGGGGGUUUCAGGUCACUGCUGGCAGAGCUAGAGAGCAACAGAAGCACAGUCAUCCAAGAGCUUUAG